AGAGGUGUAGCCUAACUGGUAAGGCAACGGUCUUGAAAACCGUCGGGUCUGAAAGCCCUUGCAGGUUCAAAUCCUGUCGCCUCUG
rnacentral:tRNA from 1 species